CCUACGGGGUGCACCAGUGGGGAAACUUGGACAAUGGGCGAAAGCCCGAUCCAGCAAUAUCGCGUGAGUGAAGAAGGCCUUAGGGUUGUAAAGCUCUUUCACCGGUGAAGAUAAUGACGGUAACCGGAGAAGAAGCCCCGGCUAACUUCGUGCCAGCAGCCGCGGUAAUACGAAGGGGGCUAGCGUUGUUCGGAAUUACUGGGCGUAAAGCACGCGUAGGCGGAUAGAUAAGUCAGAGGUGAAAUCCCGGGGCUCAACCCCGGAAUUGCCUUUGAUACUGUUUACCUUGAGUGCAGAAGAGGUAAGUGGAAUUCCCAGUGUAGAGGUGAAAUUCGUAGAUAUUGGGAAGAACACCGGUGGCGAAGGCGGCAACCUGGCUCGAUACUGACGCUGAGGCGCGAAAGCGUGGGGAGCAAACAGGAUUAGAUACCCCUGUAGUC
rnacentral:rRNA from 1 species